UUGCUGCUUCUUGUCCUGCAUAUGCUUCACCACCUUGUGGUUGCAGAGGAGACGGGUCACUCACUCCUCAGCCUUUAGCCAAAAAAAUAGAUGCAACAAAUUCCCGACCCUCUUGCUGCUUCUUGUCCUGCAUAUGCUUCACCACCUUGUGGUUACAGAGGAGACGGGUCACUCACUCCUCAGCCUUUAGCCAAAAAAAUAGAUGCACUACUGAUCGGCUCCUCCUUCACUGCCAUGCAUCUCUUAUAACUCCUCCCUCGCGGCUAUAAAUAGAGAGGAUCGCUCCCAUCGAAAAUCCCAAGUUCAUCUAUUUCUCAUUCCCCACCUUCUUAAUUGAUAGUAUAAGAUAUACACGAUACAAAUCACGUAAAUAACAGUGCCAUGGCUUCAAGCUCGCUAAGUUCACGCAGGACAGGAUCAUCAUCAUCAGCCGCAGCAUGGACUCCGCAGCAAAACAAACUGUUUGAGAAGGCUCUUGCCCAAUACGAUAAGGAGACACCGGACCGGUGGCAGAACGUGGCCAGGGUUGUGGGCGGAGGGAAAUCCGCAGAUGAAGUCAAGAGACACUAUGAAAUCCUUGUUGAGGAUGUCAGGCGCAUCGAAACAGGUCGCGUUCCCUACCCAAACUACACCACCACAAGGGGAACCACUGCUAUUCCUAACUAAACAAAAGGCCUCUCCUCAAGGUAUGUCAAGCGCUGCAAAACCGUAAUAAUUCGGAGUAUUAUGUCUACGAUCGAUCCCGCAGUCCCGUGUAUCAACUUAAUUAUAAACUCAACUCACAAUAUUAUAUAUAUUUUUAGUGAGGUAUUUUGAAGGUGCGUACUAAAAUUUUCCUUUUCCAGUGUACUCCUAGCAAUAAAGAGGGUGGAGAUUAAUUCCUCCCGUGAAUGGAUAAAUUAAAUGCUGUUGUCUAAAUUAUAUAUUUUGCAGCAGUUAUUUAUCAUAUAAAAGUGAAGAAGCACGAUUGCGCA